rnacentral:rRNA from 1 species
UACGUAGGGGGGCAAGCGUUGUCCGGAUUUAUUGGGCGUAAAGAGCUCGUAGGCGGUUCCGUAAGUCGUGAAGUCAAAUCUCUGGGCUCAACCCAGAAUCGCUUCCGAUACUGCGGUGACUGGAGUCCGGUAGGGGAGUGUGGAAUUCCUGGUGUAGCGGUGAAAUGCGCAGAUAUCAGGAGGAACACCGAUGGCGAAGGCAGCUCGCUGGGACGGUACUGACGCUGAGACGCGAAAGCGUGGGGAGCAAACAGG